CAAGUGAAUAAGGGCUUAUGGUGGAUACCUAGGCAUUCAGAAGCGAUGAAGGGCGUGGUUACCAACGAAAUACCUCGGGGAGUUGGAAACAAACUAAGAUCCGGGGGUUCCCGAAUGAGGAAACUUUUUAAACUAUUUAUUGAAUAUAUAAAUAAAUAAGAGCGAACCUAGCAAAUUGAAACAUCUUAGUAGCUAGAGGAAAAGAAAGCAAAAGCGAUUCCCUUAGUAGCGGCGAGCGAAAUGGGAUCAGCCUAAACUAUUUAAAUUACUUAAAUAGGGUUGUGGGACAGAAACAUAGAAUUACAAAGGCUAGGUGAAAUAAAUGGAAUUUUAUAUCAUAGAAGGUGAAAAUCCUGUAACUGAAAGCUUGAACUAAUCUUAUCUGUAUCCCGAGUAGUAUGGGGCACGUGAAAUCCCGUAUGAAUCAGCGAGGACCACCUCGUAAGGCUAAAUAUUACUGAAUGACCGAUAGUGAAACAGUACCGUGAGGGAAAGGUGAAAAGAACCCCGUGAGGGGAGUGAAAUAGAACAUGAAACCAUAGGCUUACAAGCAGUAGGAGAACGACUAAACGUUUGACUACGUGCAUGUUGAAGAAUGAGCCGGCGACUUACAGGUAGUGGCUAGGUUAAAGUAGAGAAUACUGGAGCCAUAGUGAAAGCGAGCCUGAAUAGGGCGAAUGUCACUAUUUGUAGACCCGAACCCGGAUGAUCUAGCCAUGGCCAGGAUGAAGCUUGGGUGACACUAAGUGGAGGUCCGAACCGACUAAUGUUGAAAAAUUAGCGGAUGAGUUGUGGCUAGGGGUGAAAUGCCAAUCGAAUCCGGAGCUAGCUGGUUCUCCCCGAAAUGUGUUUAGGCGCAGCGACUAGUGCUCCAACUUAGGGGUAAAGCACUGUUUCGGUGCGGGCUGCGAAAGCGGUACCAAAUCGAGGCAAACUCUGAAUACUAAGUGUGUAACUAGUCAGUGAGACAGUGGGGGAUAAGCUUCAUUGUCAAAAGGGAAACAGCCCAGAUCACCAGCUAAGGCCCCUAAAUAAAUACUAAGUGAUAAAGGAGGUGGAAAUACAUAGACAACCAGGAGGUUUGCUUAGAAGCAGCCACCCUUUAAAGAGUGCGUAAUAGCUCACUGGUCUAGUGUUUCUGCGCCGAAAAUGAAUGGGGCUAAGUAUUUUGCCGAAGCUGUGGGAUGUUUUACAUCGGUAGGGGAGCGUUCUAUAUUAGGUUGAAGCAUUAGCGGAAGCGGAUGUGGACGAAAUAGAAGUGAGAAUGUCGGCUUGAGUAGCGAAAACAUUGGUGAGAAUCCAAUGCCCCGAAAAUUCAAGGUUUCCUUCGGAAGGCUCGUCCACGAAGGGUAAGUCAGGACCUAAGAUGAGGUUGAAAAACGUAAUCGAUGGACAACGGGUUAAUAUUCCCGUACUGCUUCUAUUGGUAUCGAGGGACGGAGAAGGCUAAGUUAGCCGAAUGUUGGUUAUCGGUUUAAAUAUGCAAGGUUUUGAAAAGUGGAGAAAACACUUUGAGCUAACAUAUGAGUACAAAAUAUCUAAGAUAUUAAAGUAACUGAUGUCAUACUUCCAAGAAAAGCUCGAAAUACCAUAAAUAGAAAGUACCUGUACCCUAAACCGACACAGGUGAAUAAGUAUAGCAUACUAAGGGGCGCGAGAUAACUCUCUCUAAGGAACUCGGCAAAAUGACUCCGUAACUUUGGAAGAAGGAGUACCCUGCAAAGGGUUGCAAUAACCAGGCCCAAGCGACUGUUUACCAAAAACACAGGUCUCCGCAAAAUCGUAAGAUGAAGUAUGGGGGCUGACGCCUGCCCAGUGCCGGAAGGUUAAGGAAGUUGGUUAGUCAAUAGAUAAAGCUGAUGACUGAAGCCCCGGUGAACGGCGGCCGUAACUAUAACGGUCCUAAGGUAGCGAAAUUCCUUGUCGGGUAAGUUCCGACCCGCACGAAAGGCGUAACGAUUUGGGUACUGUCUCGGAGAGAGACUCGGCGAAAUAGACAUGUCUGUGAAGAUGCGGACUACCUGCACCUGGACAGAAAGACCCUAUGAAGCUUUACUGUAGCUUGGAAUUGAGUUUAAGUUUUUUCUGCGCAGUAUAGGUGGGAGGCUUAGAGAAUAUUCUUGCGGGGAUGUUUGAGCCAUCAGUGAGAUACCACUCUGAAAAAUCUGGAAUUCUAACCUUGUAUGCCGUUAUCCGGCCAAGGGACAGUUUCUGGUGGGCAGUUUGACUGGGGCGGUCGCCUCCUAAAAGGUAACGGAGGCGUGCAAAGGUUCUCUCAGGCUGGUCGGAAAUCAGUCGUAGAGUGUAAAGGCAUAAGAGAGCUUGACUGCGAGACAUACAAGUCGAGCAGAGACGAAAGUCGGCCUUAGUGAUCCGACGGUUCCGAGUGGAAGGGCCGUCGCUCAACGGAUAAAAGUUACUCUAGGGAUAACAGGCUGAUCUCCCCCAAGAGUUCACAUCGACGGGGAGGUUUGGCACCUCGAUGUCGGCUCAUCGCAUCCUGGGGCGGUAGUACGUCCCAAGGGUUGGGCUGUUCGCCCAUGAAAGCGGUACGUGAGCUGGGUUCAGAACGUCGUGAGACAGUUCGGUCCAUAUCCGGUGUAGGCGUUAGAGCAUUGAGAGGAUCUCUCCUUAGUACGAGAGGACCGGGAGAGACGCACCGCUGGUGUACCAGUUAUCAUGCCAAUGGUAAACGCUGGGUAGCUAUGUGCGGAACAGAUAACCGCUGAAAGCAUCUAAGUGGGAAGCUAGCCUCAAGAUGAGUGCUCUCAUCGUUUUAAACGAGUAAGAUCACGGUAAGACUAACCGUUGAUAGGCGCUAAGUGUAAGUAUAGUAAUAUAUUCAGCUGAGGCGUACUAACAGAUCGAG
rnacentral:rRNA from 1 species